GAGUUUGAUCCUGGCUCAGGACGAACGCUGGCGGCGCGCCUAACACAUGCAAGUCGAACGGAGCUGAGAGGAGCUUGCUUUUCUUAGCUGAGUGGCGGACGGGUGAGUAACGCGUGAGCAACCUGCCCUUCGGAACGGGAUAGUGUCUGGAAACGGACAGUAAUACCGUAUAACAUAUAUUGAUCGCAUGGUCGAUAUAUCAAAACUGAGGUGCCGAAGGAUGGGCUCGCGUCUGAUUAGAUAGUUGGUGGGGUAACGGCCUACCAAGUCGACGAUCAGUAGCCGGACUGAGAGGUUGAACGGCCACAUUGGGACUGAGACACGGCCCAGACUCCUACGGGAGGCAGCAGUGGGGAAUAUUGCACAAUGGGGGAAACCCUGAUGCAGCAACGCCGCGUGAAGGAAGACGGUUUUCGGAUUGUAAACUUCUGUUCUUAGUGAAGAAUAAUGACGGUAGCUAAGGAGCAAGCCACGGCUAACUACGUGCCAGCCGCCGCGGUAAUUC
rnacentral:rRNA from 1 species